GAUGAAGAACGUAGCGAAAUGCGAUACGUAGUGUGAAUUGCAGAAUCCAGUGAAUCAUCGAAUCUUUGAACGCACAUUGCGCCCGCCGGCAUCCCGGCGGGCAUGCCUGUUCGAGCGUCAUUUCAACCCUCGAACCCCUCCGGGGGGUCGGCGUUGGGGAUCGGCCCUGCCUCUUGGCGGUGGCCGUCUCCGAAAUACAGUGGCGGUCUCGCCGCAGCCUCUCCUGCGCAGUAGUUUGCACACUCGCAUCGGGAGCGCGGCGCGUCCACAGCCGUUAAACACCCAACAUCUGAAAUGUUGACCUCGGAUCAGGUAGGAAUACCCGCUGAACUUAAGCAUAUCAAUAAGCGGAGGA
rnacentral:misc_RNA from 1 species